UGCUUAACACAUGCAAGUCGUGCGCGAAGGUGGCUUCGGCCGCCGGAGAGCGGCGAACGGGUGAGUAACACGUGGGUGAUCUGCCUGGGAGCGGGGGAUAACCUGGGGAAACUCGGGCUAAUACCGCAUACGUUGCCGUGGUUGCGACCAGGGCAAGAAAGCUGGCCUCUAUUUAUAAGCCAGCACUCCUAGAGGAGCCCGCGUCUGAUUAGCUAGUUGGUGGGGUAAUGGCCUACCAAGGCGACGAUCAGUAGCCGGCCUGAGAGGGUGAUCGGCCACACUGGGACUGA
rnacentral:rRNA from 1 species